rnacentral:rRNA from 1 species
GAUGAACGCUGGCGGCGUGCCUAAUACAUGCAAGUCGAGCGAAUGGAUUAAGAGCUUGCUCUUAUGAAGUUAGCGGCGGACGGGUGAGUAACACGUGGGUAACCUGCCCAUAAGACUGGGAUAACUCCGGGAAACCGGGGCUAAUACCGGAUAACAUUUUGAACUGCAUGGUUUGAAAUUGAAAGGCGGCUUCGGCUGUCACUUAUGGAUGGACCCGCGUCGCAUUAGCUAGUUGGAGAGGUAACGGCUCACCAAGGCAACGAUGCGUAGCCGACCUGAGAGGGUGAUCGGCCACACUGGGACUGAGACACGGCCCAGACUCCUACGGGAGGCAGCAGUAGGGAAUCUUCCGCAAUGGACGAAAGUCUGACGGAGCAACGCCGCGUGAGUGAUGAAGGCUUUCGGGUCGUAAAACUCUGUUGUUAGGGAAGAACAAGUGCUAGUUGAAUAAGCUGGCACCUUGACGGUACCUAACCAGAAAGCCACGGCUAACUACGUGCCAGCCGCCGCAGUAA